CUGAAAUGCCAUCUGUUCCUUGGUAUCCUUGCAAGCCCUUUGGCCCAGCUCAGGCUUUACCCAGCUGUGAAGAAAAGGUCAGCUAUGUGCAUCUGUCCGCUUGGGAUAUAGGCUGCCGUUCACCAUCUACAAAACCUCCUAUUGCCUUAUUUUCCAAAGGAACAAAUUAUGGCUCUUUUUGUUGCCACUUUGAAUUAGGUCACACCCAAAGCAGGUGGCUGGGGAAGACCAGCAGAAAAUCUUUGCUAAUACGUCAGUCAACACAUAUUUGCCUGGUCAGAGGAGGAAGCUGGUGGCUAAGAUAAAAUUAAUUUUUGUUCUCUGAUGAAAGACUUGGUUUGUUCCCCCGUAAGACGUUUUGUUCUUUUACCAGGAACACGAGAGGUUGAGUGCCUUAAUUAAAAUCCAGCUCAUGUCUUUCUAUUCACACUUGACGAUCUCUGACCUUUGUCACCAAUCACUUAGUCAUGAUUUCAAUUUUCCUGUUUUUUAGUGGUUCACCAUCAGA